rnacentral:rRNA from 1 species
GAUGAACGCUGGCGGCGUGCCUAAUACAUGCAAGUCGCGCGAAUGAUGAGGAGCUUGCUCCUCUGAUUUAGCGGCGGACGGGUGAGUAACACGUGGGUAACCUGCCUGUAAGAUGGGAAUAACUCCGGGAAACCGGGGCUAAUACCGAAUAAUAAAAGAGGAAGCAUUUCUUCUUUUUGAAAGUUGGUUUCGGCUAACACUUACAGAUGGGCCUGGGGCGCAUUAGCUAGUUGGUGAGGUAGCGGCUCACCACGGCGACGAUGCGUAGCCGACCUGAGAGGGUGAUCGGCCACACUGAGACUGAGACACGGCCCAGACUCCUACGGGAGGCAGCAGUAGGGAAUCUUCGGCAAUGGGCGAAAGCCUGACCGAGCAACGCCGCGUGAGCGAGGAAGGCCUUCGGGUCGUAAAGCUCUGUUGUCAGGGAAGAACAAGUACGAGAGUAACUGCUCGUACCUUGACGGUACCUGACCAGAAAGCCACGGCUAACUACGUGCCAGCAGCCGCAGUAAUAC